GGGGCUGUAGCUCAGUCGGGAGAGCAUUUCCUUUGCAAGGAAGGGGUCAGGGGUUCGAGUCCCCUCAGCUCCACCA
rnacentral:tRNA from 1 species